GCUCCAACAAGGCGCCGCCAGCCCAUUGUCCAGCGACUUAAUCCUUACUGUGUGUAGCCGCGGCUGGGUGGGCGGUGGCCGCCGGGGUGGGGAGGAACGCGGGGCUUUCCGGCUCCUGUUUGCUGGAUUGUGCAACGUUAGCUCGGGGUUGGGUUUCUUCCGAGGUCCCCGCGCUUGUGGGUUUCUCCCUGCUGGCUCACGUGUAGGUGCAGCGCGUGGGCGAUGGGUGUCCUGCAAGGGGGAGGAGGGGAGAGCCUGCAGGGUGCUUCCCUUCCGCUGCGGCGCUUUUAAACGACCGCCCCAUCGGUCAAGGGCAGUUUGUCUGGAGUCCCUGGGACCAGACUGCAGCAGUAAUAUUUCCCCAGAAAAAGGGGAUGUGUGCCAAGGACAAAGGCUCUAAAGAAACCAUCCUCACGCUGACGAUCGCCACAGAGUGUCCUCCAGACACCACCACAUUGAGUCCAAAAGAAACGGACGCUUGAAGGACUCCCGUUGGCCUCAUUUCCUGCGAGCUUGGAGUUUAGGUCGUUCUCUAAUCGCUGCUGACGCAAAGCCUUCCUGACAGGUACCUUGAACCAGCUUUGAAACAAGCGUUAGUGGUCCAAGAAGCAGCGGAAAUAAAGAGACUCAAAAGGGGAGCCAGCUGCUAGAAAUUCAAACUUCCCACCAGCACCAAAGUUACUUCCUACUUCCAGUCACCACCAGAGUUUCCGGUGAUUAAGCAAAUGUCCCAACAAUUUGGGGGCGGGGAUUGCGGGGUGGGGGUUGAGGGUGGAUGUUUCUGGGUUUGCUAUUCUAGAGCCCCACAGGCCAGAUGACUCCAGACAGAGGAGCAAGGACCCUGGCUUGAGAAAGGAGGUUGGGAAAAAGAAACAUCACUACAAGCGUGGGCUUUAAGAAACAGCCUUAGCACUCUGUCCUUGGAUGCGAAAGAAUGUGGGGUCGGACCUCAAAAGAGGACAGUGGGGAGGGGCGAUAGUCCAGUGGGGAGGGUGCUGACCUUGCAAGAUCCCCAGCACCCCUUGUGAUUCCCUGAGUGCACCCCCCCUCAGGAGCACAGGAGAAUGCCCUGAGCAGAGGGGGGAGGGGUGUCUCCAAACCACAAAACAAAAAAAUGGGGCACGAGUAACUGCAUCCCAGGGCACUUGUUUAGGGUUAGAUGCAGUCACGGACGGGUGAUGCCAGCUGAGUGACAGGUUUUCAGCAAGCGUCCUGCUCUGCUGCUCAGUUUCUGGGUCCCCAUCCCGCCAGCCCCCAGCUCCCGGAGAGGUUGGACCAGGGCUCCUACUUCCUCUCCCUGUCCGAUGUCUCUUGUUUGCAAAUGUUAAAUCCUUCCCCAAACAUUGGCAAUCUUCUGGGGAACAACAAAUCCUUCAGAAGCUGCAGGGUGUGUGCGUUGGGGGGGGGAGGCAGGAGCACCCCACACCCUCAGGAGUGUAGAACAAAGAUGCAGCCCGCCCCCAGCUCAGCCUUUUGUCUGGCUCUUAAUGACUUUCGAAAGAGGAAGCCCGGCUCGGCCUUCAAAAGCUCUUUUCCAAAGAAUGUGGAGAGGGGGAUGGGCUGAACCCUGAGGGCUCCAGGGCCGCAGGCAAGGCCUUCGGUGGCCCUGCCCUGCCCCCCACCCCGUCAAACACGAAGGAACACGCCUGGGGUGAAGAUUUAAUGGGCUAAUGAAACCGGCUGCUGACAACCCACUUGAUCUCCAGCACCCACGAGGAGUAAUUCCUGAGCUCAGAGCCAGGAGGAACCCCUGAGCAUCUCCAGGUGUGGCCCCCAAACCAAAAUAAGAGGGGUGCAGAGUGAUACAUUUACACAGCGGGUAGGGCAUUCCUUUGCCUUGCACCUGACCAACCUGGGUUUGGAACCCGGCACCCCAGGAGUGAUCCCUGGGUACAGAGCCAGGUGUCAUUCCCAAAAACAAGUGAGGGUUCAAAAGGCUGGACUCACGCUUUGUUAGCAAGAGGCCCUCGUUCCAUCCUUGGCACCCCCAUGGGUAACCUGGGAGCAUUGAGCCCUGCUCCAGAGCACCACUGGCUGUGGCUGGCCUAAGAGAGUAAAGAAGCCCCUUAAUGUAGGCAAGUAGAUAGGGAAAGGCCCUUGGCAAUGAAAAUUUAGAUCUAACAGUCUCUGGGAAGGAGACUCUUAAGACUUGCAGAUUCAAGAAAACAAAAGACCCGGAGGAAACCUUCAGUGGACCCUGAGAAUAAUGGGUCCCUCCCCAGGAAGUUCCCCAAAGAAGGCCAGCACCACUCCCAACCUCCCUGGUAGCCUUAGCAACGGACUUUUACCUGGGAAGAAGCCCCACGUGGGGGCAGGUUGAAGAAACCCUAUAAAAGACACCUUGAACAAAGGAAGGGCGCGCAUAUGCUGCCUGAGCUCAUGUGCUGCUUGCACCCGAGUGGCUGAGCACAUGUGUUGCCCGAAUCUCCUCUAUUGAGAUGUGUACUUUCAUGCUUUCAUACUUUUGUGUGUAAAGCUCGGUUUGAGCGGUUUGGGCCAUGUAGCAGCAAAGGAUAGGGUUAAUGUUUUGCUAACUUGCUUGAUUGCUUUCUGUAACUUGCUAAAUUGCCUUCUGUAACUUGCUAACUUGCUUGAUCACUCUCUGUAAAACAAUACCUUGCAGUAUGACCUAAGCUACACAAAACAAGGACCUGUUUCAGGAAAUGAAACUGCCCAGACGCCUGGUAAUGUCCAGGAAAGGCACGGACAUAUGGCAAAAUUUACUCUAGCAAAGCAGAAUGUUACUGACGACCCCCGCCUUGAUCCCGAAAAAUGAGGAUGUUGAUCUAAGUGACCUGGGAAAAAUUAAGAUGUUGAUCAAAGUAACCUUGGAAAAAUGAGAAAAAUGAGAAUAAUGAUCAAAGUAAUCUUAUUUACUAAGGUGUAUAAAAAGGACCUGAACUCUCUAUACGGGGCUCUCUUUCUCUCUCUAACCCUCCUCUGCGUAGGAGUGAGAAGGAGUGAGAGCGGACAGAGGGCCCCAGCGCACUGGCCUGAAUAAAUCCCCUUGCUGUUGGCAGAAAGAGCAGUUUCGGUUUUGUUCCUCCGCGCCUCCCCGGGGCAGAGAUCUGCUCGACCCUCACAGGUUAUGUGUAGGGGCUUCCUCCACCCUUGGAGAAGCCCGUGUUCUCUCUUGAGGGCGUUAUUUUCACUAUUCUCUCUCCCACUUAUCCCUUCCUCCUUCCCUCAGAAACCUCUAAAUAAAACCUAUUUACUUCAC